ACGGGAGGCAGCAGUGAGGAAUAUUGGUCAAUGGGCGAGAGCUUGAACCAGCCAAGUCGCGUGCGGGACGAAGGCCCUACGGGUCGUAAACCGCUUUUAUACGGGAAUAAAGUGCGCCACGCGUGGCGUUUUGCAGGUACCGUAGGAAUAAGGAUCGGCUAACUCCGUGCCAGCAGCCGCGGUAAUACGGAGGAUCCGAGCGUUAUCCGGAUUUAUUGGGUUUAAAGGGUGCGUAGGCGGGACGUUAAGUCAGUGGUAAAAGCGUGUGGCUCAACCAUACCAAGCCAUUGAAACUGUCGUUCUUGAGUGUAAACGAGGUAGGCGGAAUGUGACGUGUAGCGGUGAAAUGCUUAGAUAUGUCACAGAACCCCGAUUGCGAAGGCAGCUUACCAGCAUACAACUGACGCUGAGGCACGAAAGCGUGGGUAUCAAACAGGAUUAGAUACCCUGGUA
rnacentral:rRNA from 1 species